GGUUGGGAGCAUUGAUUCAUGUGCAAAAGAGCCAUUUAAGAAUUAUUCAUUACUGCUGUUUCUGUCAUUGUCGUUUAAAAUUUAUAGUAAAACCUUAAGCUGCACUUUUUGCAUUUUUGCGCGCACGUUUCUAAAAAAAAACAGAAUGAUUGUUAUUUGGAUUUAAAAUUUGUCCUUUCAUAGCGAUUUCUCAUCUACCCGGAAACCUGAAGGACGACCAUUGUUUUCAUUAUGUCUGAUUACUAUUGGGAGCCACUCGCUGAAGUGUACAUUUCAGAACAGACUGAAUUCCCAGAUACGGACACUUACAUUUAUUGUUUAUGCAGUAGAGUUUUUAUUCGAACUCCUGAAAUUUACACCAUUUUCAAUACAGAAGAUGCAAGUGAAGGCGAAUAUAUUGAAGGAGACUGCAUGUGUGAAAUUUUUAAUGCAAAAGAAAAAAUCCCUAUAGAGGUGCAACUUUACCAUCUUGAAAAACACGAGGAGGAACCAGUGAGCUGCUAUUGCAGUGCGUCACAUACAGAUAACAAUUAUUCUACAGAUGAACAUGAUUCAGUUCGUGAUAUAUCACAUCAUCCAUCCGUACAAUCUCUGACUCAAAAAUUUGUUCUGCAUCAAUCAGAUUCUGGUGCAGACUUGUCUGAGUACCACGAUCAACAAGAAGCCAUAAGUAUUCAGAAUAUGUUGGCAUCUUAUGAUAAAACUUUAGAAACUAAUGAAGAACUUAUCGUUGAAACUAAAGAUAAACAUAUUUCUGAUACGAAAAGAGAAAUUAUAGACUUUGAUUUGAAUUUAGACAUAAUAGAUACUAAAGAAACUUUUACGGAAACGUGCACAAACACAUCUUAUAAUUCUCUGUACUCUACAGCGAAUAUAUAUUGUAAUAAGUUUCCAUCUGUGGUAACAAAUUCUAAGGAAUUAAUUUCUAUGAAUAAUCAAUUUUACAAAAGCAACAAGGACUCUCAAGUACAGGAAUGUACCGCAGAUAAUAAAUUCAAUUUUAAUUUUAUAGAAACAGAAGAUUGGGAAUGUAUGGAAAAAUACGGCUCAUCUAAGAAAAGCAAAAUUGAUUUAGCAUGGGAAAGAUAUUGGUCGAAGUAUGGAGAAUGUAUAUUAUGGACAUCGUGGAUUAACAAGUAUGCAGAUUAUAUAAAUCCUAGUUACUUACAAGAAAAUCCUUGUUUAUUAGAAAAAGGUGCAGAAUGCGUGGAAGAAAUUGCACAACUUUCCGAGGUAUUUCCUGAACAAAACACUUGUUUUCCGACUGAAGCGCACAUAAAUUGUACAAUCGGUCGAUCAAAUUUCGAAGGGAUCUUUGGAAAAACCGAAGUCAAUAUGUACGAUUUUCCAAAACAGGACUCAACCAGCACAAUUAUCUUUUCUUUCCAAAAUUCAAAUAAGGACUAUGUCAACGAUAAAGAGGCUGAAGAUAAUAGGAAAAGAAUAGGGAAUCAACUGUCGCCACAACAUGGUGAAAGCUGGAAUCCUUUAAGUUCAUUCAACGUAGAAGAAAGUUACAAUCAACCUUCCAACGCCGAUGACGAGAAACUUCUUACAAGGUGCGAUUCAGCUAAUGGGUCAAUUGCAAGAACUAAUGCUACUUCGGAUUCUAUGACAAAUGUUACUAAAAUGACACUGACAAGUUCAAGUUGUGAUUCUACGUCAAUCCAGUCUAGUCUCGUCAGCUCAAUGACCAGUUCUAAUGAAAGUAAUGUGACUGGUAGCAAUUCAGAUCCAGACAAUGAAUACGCACCUGAGGAUAAUGAUAAAUAUUGGCAAGAUUUGUGGAAAGAAAAUUUUCAUGAACAGUAUCAAAAACACUAUGCGCAAUUCAAAAUAAAUUAUAAGCUGAAAAAAGAACAAAUCAGCAUUGACUCUAAUUCUCAUUUAGAUAAUGCACAUCUUUCAUCGAGAGGGUUUAAACCCAAAGAGGAUGAUAAUUGUAGAUAUUCUAAAAACAAUAAAAGUUUAGGAAAUAUUAAUUUAAUCGAUAACAAAUCGGAGGUUGUAGGUAACUUUCAGAAAGAAAACUUCGGGACAAAGAAAAUGAUUAUGGAAUCUGUAGGUUUACUGAUGCAGAAUUUGACGAUGAGUACCCAAGUCGUCAAAGUUAACGGCGUGAUUGAAAACAGUUCAUCAGAAAAUAUCGGCCGAAGUAAAGUACCAGAAGAUGGAUAUAAUACAAUUCAUUUCGAUAUUUUGGGCUUGGAUAUCAAGAGUGAUAUGAACAAAACGUCCCCUAACUCUGAAUUUAAACAAAAACAACUUAAGGAUAAACCGUCUACUCUAAAACGCAGUCAUGAUGCAGACGGUGAUCUAGAGGGCUUAGUAAAUGUGAAGAAAGCAUUUUUACUAAUGGGAUAUACUUUUAAUGAAAAUUAUGAAGGACAAAAACUGCAAGGAGAAGUUGUGUACAGGAAACGUAAUAUCAAAUUGCAAAAUAGGCAAUUAAAAAUGAAAUUCAGUCGACCAAAACCUGUUAACAAGCACAUAUAUUUUAACGAAAAUGGUGAAGAAAUUAUAUAUACACAGAAGAAGGUAAACUUAAUCUUAUCUCAAUGCUCAACGAAGCACACGGUUGAUGUGGAAAUUCAACCAACGGGAAAAAUUUCCUUGACCAACACACCAUUUACUUCUAGUUCCGACGAAGAGUGUGCUUCUACACUCAAAACAAAAAUGAAUGAGAAACGUUUUGCAGUUAAUAAAUCCAUUACAAGUUCAUCGGGAUCGAAACUUAUUAGAGAUGAUACUAAUGACAAUAGCACGUUAUUCGUUGAAAAAAGUUCGAACGCAGAUUUUUUAGACACAGAUAUAGGUAGUGGUGUUAAUAUCAUUCAUAUAAUAAAUGAUACUAAUAUUCAUCCUACUGACCACAAUUCAAUAUCCGAAACCGAAAUAAUAUCUGAAGCUAACCAGAUUCCAAUGACUGUUGACUGUAAAACUGAUAUGGAGGAUGUCUUGGGAACAAAGUUGGCGGAUGAAGAUAGUGUUAAGAAAAUUCAGAGAAAGAAGAAAAGAAAGCAAAAUAAGAGGAAUAUUAAUCUCCCAGCCGAAGUGGAUGGCGAUAAAACAUUAGUAAAAUAUUGGUUCAAAAGAUACCGAUUGUUCAGUAAAUUUGACCAGGGAAUAAAAUUAGACCGAGAGAGCUGGUUUUCUGUUACACCAGAAAAGAUAGCACAGCAUAUCGCAGAAAGAUGUAAAUGCGAUAUGAUUGUGGAUGCAUUUUGUGGCGCUGGAGGAAAUGCUAUUCAAUUUGCAUAUACAUGUGAACGAGUUCUGGCUAUAGAUAUUGACCCGUUGAAAAUCGAGAUGGCUCGACAUAACGCUAGAGUGUAUGGAGUAGAGGACAGAAUAGAAUUUGUCGUCGGAGAUUUCUUCAAACUGGCACCUAAGCUAUUCGCAGACGUUGUAUUUUUGAGUCCACCGUGGGGAGGACCCAACUACGCUAGAAAUGAUACCUUGGAUCUCAAUAGCCUUAUGUUACCUAAAGGAGGGACAGAAUUGUUUAAUGUUGCAAAGCGUAUUACGAAUCACAUCGCAUACUUUCUACCCAGGAAUGUGGACUCUGUGCAGUCACCGCAGACUUCCACUUGGAACAGCUUCCAUUCAUGGAAGUGACAGCAGACAUCAGUAAAACCUCGGUAAAUCACACCUGUGGCCACGCCUCCCGACCGUGAGAUGAUUGACUACAGGGCUUGGCGAAAUCACAAAUACGGGCUGACUAAACCGUUGUGAUUCUUGAGAGCACGGAGCGACCCAAGGGUGACAUCCAUUUGCAUCCAUCUCGCAAGUGCAUCGGCAAGUUUUUGGCACGUGGGUAUGGCUUUGAGGUUACGAUCCAGUGAUAGCUUUGCACUUCCGAGAUCACCGAUCACGAGGAUAAUAGUUUUAACCGAAUUCUCUCGGUCCAGUUGCACCUCUGUACCUGGACUUGCAAUGCUAGGUGGGAUUGGAUCUGCAGUGGAAGUCGAACAGAACUUUCUUGAUAGGAAGUUAAUAGCACUAACUGCUUACUACGGAGAACUGCCUCGAGAAUGCUG